rnacentral:rRNA from 1 species
GAUGAACGCUGGCGGCGUGCCUAAUACAUGCAAGUCGAGCGAACAGACGAGGAGCUUGCUCCUCUGACGUUAGCGGCGGACGGGUGAGUAACACGUGGAUAACCUACCUAUAAGACUGGGAUAACUUCGGGAAACCGGAGCUAAUACCGGAUAAUAUAUUGAACCGCAUGGUUCAAUAGUGAAAGACGGUUUUGCUGUCACUUAUAGAUGGAUCCGCGCCGCAUUAGCUAGUUGGUAAGGUAACGGCUUACCAAGGCAACGAUGCGUAGCCGACCUGAUAGGGUGAUCGGCCACACUGGAACUGAAACACGGUCCAGACUCCUACGGGAGGCAGCAGUAGGGAAUCUUCCGCAAUGGGCGAAAGCCUGACGGAGCAACGCCGCGUGAGUGAUGAAGGUCUUCGGAUCGUAAAACUCUGUUAUUAGGGAAGAACAAAUGUGUAAGUAACUAUGCACGUCUUGACGGUACCUAAUCAGAAAGCCACGGCUAACUACGUG